rnacentral:rRNA from 1 species
UACGAAGGGGGCUAGCGUUGUUCGGAAUCACUGGGCGUAAAGGGCGCGUAGGCGGCUGUUCAAGUCGGGGGUGAAAGCCUGUGGCUCAACCACAGAAUUGCCUUCGAUACUGGACGGCUGGAGACCGGAAGAGGUCAGUGGAACUGCGAGUGUAGAGGUGAAAUUCGUAGAUAUUCGCAAGAACACCAGUGGCGAAGGCGGCUCACUGGCCCGGUACUGACGCUGAGGUGCGAAAGCGUGGGGAGCAAACAGG